UACGUAGGGGGCAAGCGUUGUCCGGAUUUAUUGGGCGUAAAGAGCGUGUAGGCGGCCUGGUAGGUCAGUUGUGAAAACUCGAGGCUCAACCUCGAGACGCCGAUUGAAACCACCAGGCUAGAGUCCGGAAGAGGAGAGUGGAAUUCCCGGUGUAGCGGUGAAAUGCGCAGAUAUCGGGAAGAACACCCGUGGCUAAGGCGGCUCUCUGGGACGGUACUGACGCUGAGACGCGAAAGCGUGGGGAGCGAACAGG
rnacentral:rRNA from 1 species